rnacentral:rRNA from 1 species
UACGGAGGGUGCAAGCGUUAUCCGGAUUCACUGGGUUUAAAGGGUGCGUAGGCGGAUAGGUAAGUCCGUGGUGAAAUCCUGCAGCUUAACUGCAGAACUGCCAUGGAUACUAUCUAUCUUGAAUGUCGUGGAGGUUAGCGGAAUAUGUCAUGUAGCGGUGAAAUGCUUAGAGAUGACAUAGAACACCCAUUGCGAAGGCAGCUGGCUACACGAAUAUUGACACUGAUGCACGAAAAGCGUGGGGAUCAAACAGG